rnacentral:misc_RNA from 1 species
AUGCGAUAAGUAAUGUGAAUUGCAGAAUUCAGUGAAUCAUCGAGUCUUUGAACGCACAUUGCGCCCCCUGGUAUUCCGGGGGGCAUGCCUGUCCGAGCGUCAUUGCUGCCCUCAAGCCCGGCUUGUGUGUUGGGUCGCCGUCCCCCCGGGGACGGGCCCGAAAGGCAGCGGCGGCACCGCGUCCGGUCCUCGAGCGUAUGGGGCUUCGUCACCCGCUUUGUAGGCCCGGCCGGCGCUUGCCGACAACCUAUUUUUUUUCAUCCAGGUUGACCUCGGAUCAGGUAGGGAUACCCGCUGAACUUAA